rnacentral:tRNA from 1 species
GCGUUCGUAGCUCAUAUGGAUAGAGUAACGGACUUCGAAUCCGUAGGUAGCCUGUUCGAGUCAGGCCGGACGCA